rnacentral:rRNA from 1 species
GAUGAACGCUGGCGGCGUGCCUAACACAUGCAAGUCGAACGCAAAGGCCAAGCUUCUUUCACCUUCCAGGGUGGCGACGAGGGGGGGAACAACACGGUAACAACCUCCUUCAUUGCUGGGAACAACAUGUGGAAACAGAUGCUAAUACCUAAUAAAACUUAGUGCCUCAUGACGCAUGGUUAAAAGCCGCUUUUGCGUCUCGUAUAGAUGGAUCUGCGCUGCAUUAGUUGGUUGGUGAGGUAAAGGCCUACCAAGACGAUGAUGCAUAGCCGAGUUGAGAGACUGAUCGGCCACAUUGGAACUGAGACACGGCCCAAAGUCCUACGGGAGGCUGCAGUAGGGAAUCUGACGCAAUGGGCGAGAGCCUGAUGGAGCGACGGCGAGUGUGUGAUGAAGGCUUUGGGGUCGUGAAGAACUGUUGUAUGGGGAGAACAGCUAGAGUAGGAAAUGAUGUUAGUUUGACGGUAAUGUACAAAGAAGGGACGGCUAACUACGUG